UUUUGCACAGGGUGGGAAGAAGCUGGGACUUUGGCCUGCUCCUGGACCCCAGGCAGCUCAGUGCUGCCUGUGGAUGCAGGCAGCAGUGAAGUGCCUGCAGACCCCUCCUAGCCCUCCAGUGCCAGGGCAGGGACCCAGUUUAACUUGGAUAUCAAUUAAUACCAGCUGCUUUGCCUUGCAAUGUGGACCUACUAGGAACUGGUAAUAGCCAUAAUCAGGAAAUGCUCUAGAGAGAAUGAUUCUGCCCUGGGAGGGGGACAGGCUGUGAACUGCAACAGGUCUUUUCAAUCUCUAAUUUCUACAUAUUUCAUUUAUACAGGGCACUGAAAACUUAAAUUGUAACUAGCUUUGGGCAUUAUUCACAAGAGACAGAUUUGAUCCAGUGACCCAAAGGCGAAAGGUUCUGUAUUCGAUUAGCAGCCCCCUACCAGUGCAGUCCCUCACCAAGGUUUUUAUAUCAAUAACUAAAUACCACUAACCUUUACAAGGUACAUGGUAACGUUUCAGUCUCCUAAUUCUGAAUCAUUUCACAAGCAAAGGGAAGUUCAGGUUUGCGUUAAAAAUGGAACUUCUUUGACAGCUUGUUAUUAGAUAUUUAGGAGCAGAAUUAUUUUUGAAAGAGAGGGAGAAGGAAAUCAGUGGAUUAUGACUCAGUGGGUUUAGGAGUGUCUAAAAGGCACUGCCCUCAGAGAAUAUAUCAGGCACUGCUCCUACACUGCUUUUCCCACCCUCUCCUGUGACUGAUUGCUGCAGAAAUUCUUCUCUCCCCCUUACUGGCAAUUUUACAUCUUGUACUAUAUUACCCACUGGAAUGUCCCUUGGAAUUCCACCCAGGAUCCAGAAGUUAAGAGAGUCUUGAUCUUGAUACUACUGAAACUUAAGUGCCAGAACAAGGAAGACGCCUUAUCAUCUGCCUGCUUUCCUGCUCUGUGGCUGGACAUGGCCUCCUGCCACUGUCCCUUCCCUGCCACAGAAGUCAGGUCCCUCCACAAGAGACCCCAGCACAUCUGUGAAGCAGCAGUUACUGAAGUUGUUUGCUGGGGGAUGACACCAACCAGGAAGGCACUGAAGCUCACUGCAUAUAUUCAGAUUGGGUAUACUACUCCAUUGCUUACUUAAACAUCUGCAUGUGAUCCCUGUCCAUUCCUCAAGCAAAAAGAAAAAGGGAAGGCUGGCUGGCCAGUAAGCAAGUACAAGCUGAAACAUCUGUGCGACAGAUAAUCACAUACAGCCAGGAGAGUCACUAGUGCUGAUCCAUCUGUAAAGCAUCCCAUGUGCCAGUUACUUGACAUCACGAAAUUAAACUGUAAGGGAUAUUCAUGUGCCAAAGUAAAUAGUGGCAGCAGGAGAGGAAGCAUUUACAGACAUCAGCUCCAUUGUAUAACUGCAAGAGUCCAAAAAAAGACAUCAAAAACAAUCAAACUUUCUUGGCUGUACUGAAAAAUGGAAGACAAAGCACAAAUAAUCUGGACACUGCAACAACCACUUUACAGGGCCUUUAGUUGCAGCCACUUUCUUUGUCUCCUCUGUAAUAACAAGCUCUUGUAAAAUGGAAUAUUUUAAAUAAAAUGUGUUUACAAAGAGACAAAGCACAAAAUUCUGAUGCACCCACCACAUACAUGUCUUUCAUUGAUUAAUUGUUCUUUUUAAAUAAAUGGCUGUCGUUUCUAGGAACUCAUUUACAUACUUAUGGAAAACACUUUUUCUCCUUCUGUGCUGUAGCUAUCAGAUUACAUUGACCAGCUAUG